rnacentral:rRNA from 1 species
UACGGGGGGGGCAAGCGUUGUUCGGAAUUACUGGGCGUAAAGGGCUCGUAGGCGGCCAACUAAGUCGGACGUGAAAUCCCUCGGCUUAACCGGGGAACUGCGUCCGAUACUGGAUGGCUUGAGUUCGGGAGAGGGAUGCGGAAUUCCGGGUGUAGCGGUGGAAUGCGUAGAGAUCCGGAAGAACACCGGUGGCGAAGGCGGCCUGCUGGGCUAUGGCUGACACUGAGGCGCGACAGCGUGGGGAGCAAACAGG